UGCAAUUUGCAAGAGAUUUCAAGUGUUUUCUAAAGUCACGCUUCGAAGAAAUAGUAUCAGAUGGUAUGAUGGUACUAACAUUCAUUGGCAGAGAAACAUCAAAUGAAAUUACUUCUAUUCAAGAGGUACUUGGCCUGGUACUCAACGAGAUGGUCCAAGAGGUAAAUAUCAGCUUUGAUAGCAAGUAAUUAAGAAAGAGUGCUUAAAAAAAAAAAAUUAAACAUUUCAAAACAAAAAUCUUAUCGGCCUCAUAUCAUAUGUCUAUCAUUUCACACACACUUUAGAUACCCUACUUUCCUUUUACAAUAGUUUAAACCUUCUAUAAAUUUAUAUUGAUAUGAUAAAAUACCAUAUAAUUAGUUAAUCUCAUUUAAAAAUAUGGUUGAUUCAGAUAAAUACUUCCUUCGUCUUACAAUAUAUGUCUUCUUUUCUAAUUGUUUUUGUCUCUUUUAUAAUAUCAAUACAAUAUUUAAUACUUUUUCCACUUACAUACCCUUAUUUAUUCAAUUUUAAUUAUCUAAAAUUAUUCCACUAACUAUAUAAUUAAUAAGGAUGUUUUAAAAAAUGAUACACAUUUUGCCGUUAAAAUCAACACUAUUAAUCAUUUUCCUUUCCUUAAUUACCGCGUAAAACUCAUGUAGAUUGUUAUUAUUGAACAACAUUAUUAUAGGAGACUUUACAUAACAAAAUAAAUAUUUAGUUUUUCUUUAACUUUUGAUUUUCCUUUUUUAUUUUAUUUUAUAUUUUAUAAAGAUUCCUUAUAAUUUGUAGGGUUUAGUUGAAGAGGAGAAAUUAGACUUGUUUAAUUUUCCAACAUACCAUCCUACUGUAGAGGAAGUAAGACAAGUGAUUGAGGCAGAAGGAUCUUUUACACUUCAAGUAAUGAAAACUUUUAAAAUGGGUUGGGAUGCAAACCUCCAUAAUGAUGGUAUUGUUGAUAGCAAAAUGAGAGGGGAGCUUAUAGCCAAGUACCACAGAGCUGUUUUUGAACCUCUUUUAAUAGACGGGUUUGGUGA
rnacentral:lncRNA from 1 species